CCUACGGGUGGCUGCAGUGGGGAAUAUUGGACAAUGGGGGGAACCCUGAUCCAGCCAUGCCGCGUGUGUGAAGAAGGCCUCGGGUUGUAAAGCACUUUCAGUGAGGAAGAACGCCUGGUGGUUAAUACCCAUCAGGAAAGACAUCACUCACAGAAGAAGCACCGGCUAACUCCGUGCCAGCAGCCGCGGUAAUACGGAGGGUGCGAGCGUUAAUCGGAAUUACUGGGCGUAAAGCGCGCGUAGGUGGCUUGAUAAGCCGGUUGUGAAAGCCCCGGGCUCAACCUGGGAACGGCAUCCGGAACUGUCAAGCUAGAGUGCAGGAGAGGAAGGUAGAAUUCCCGGUGUAGCGGUGAAAUGCGUAGAGAUCGGGAGGAAUACCAGUGGCGAAGGCGGCCUUCUGGACUGACACUGACACUGAGGUGCGAAAGCGUGGGUAGCAAACAGGAUUAGAUACCCCUGUAGUC
rnacentral:rRNA from 1 species